AUGACAAUAAUGUGUAACCCAGUUCAUCAUCACCCUUUGUGGAUGGUGAUGAGGGCUGGUUUGUUGAAGUGGUAGGGUUGGGACCCAAGUCUCCAAACUCUAGGUUUCUGUUUUUCCCUCCCCAGUCCGUGGAACCCCUCAUGCCUGUCGGCUGGAUGGAGAUGCCAGUGGCCUCUUGAGAACAUCUGAAGGCGAACCAGAGUGGCGCUGGACUCCGUCAUCAGAGCAGCCCACAGAGGGCCAGCAUGGCUCUUCCACGGUGGGAAACAACCCCUCCUUGACUCCCUGAUUCUGAACUGGGCUGUCCAUCAACAAUGCAAGGUAUCCGCGAGAAGCAGGGAUUACAUCCACCUCAGCAGAGUCCAGUGGGCAGCAAGUCUCACUGAUACCUUCCAGGAGGGACCCCAGGCCUGCGAACGAUUGCUGUAUUCAGGGCACUCUGCCACUUGCCUGGGCACUGAGAACAGAGCGCAGGUCCCGUGACUCCCAUGCGUGAUGACAGGGAUGUGUAAAGUAACCCGGGAAGCUUGUCAGGUGCAGAGCUGAAUUCACACACACAGAGCAUCUAAUUUACCACGUUCUCUGAUGUAUGACGUCAUCGGUUUCUGUGUGAGUCCUUUGAGGGGCCGAAAUUUGGAUCCCUGACAUGUUAACUGUUAUUGAAUAGGCUGUAAAUGAAUCUCAUACUUCAUUUAUGCUUUUAGUGUUUCUUUAGUUAGAUUCUAAAUGCAUUUUGCUUUCUCCUACGCUCUUCCCUGAGACCAGAAAAAUUGCCUGCUUUCAAUUCUCUGAUAACUGAGUUUUCCCCCAUAAUGAGCUAACAAAUAUCUUCAUUAGUGCUUCUCAUUUCCACUUGCAGUUUGCUCAAAAUUAAGCAAUGCAGUGCUUCUGCAGAUGUGCUUUUUAAGCAUCUAAAAUAGAGACAUAUAGGAAUCAAAUUUCCAUUUCCCUACAGAUUAUCUGAUUACAUAGGAGCAAAUGCAGCCACUCUCAAUGAUCCAUGCUAAUGGCAGCGGGAGUGACUUGGGAAAAUGAAAUCCAUUGAGCUCAGAAGCUCUCUUCCCCCAUUUAUUUCAACCUUUCCACCCAGCCAGCAUUUGACAAGCACCAGUAACAAGCAGUGAAAUUGACCGGCUGAUUCCAUCUCUUCAUCCUUCAAACUCGUGCUAAUGAGCAGGUGAAUCACAAACAGGGAAAAGAGGGAAGAGGCAGGAUGAUCAGAUAAUCCCCCCAACUGGAACCACCCCUUCCGCAGUCAUUGCAAUCGUGUGGACAUGCACAAGCUGGAUUUAAAAUCGAUUAGAAAGAUUGGCCCCAAAAGGUGCGUUUGGGAGUGGCGUUGGGGUGAAGACAGCCUCUGCUUAUUAUUAUUUUUCUUUCCAUAAAAUCUCUCAUUACACGGCAAACACAUCGUACAAAACUGGCCAUAUCUCGGCACCACUGUGUCUGGAAGUCUCACCCUUUAACGCCUUGUUUUGUGUGGUGGUGAGGAUUUUACUCUGCCUCUCAUUGAAAUGUUUCUUCUGCCUGUGCU